UUACAGCCAUACCAUAUUCAAACAUUGGUUCUCAUAAAAUCACUGAAGUUAAGCAACAUAGAGCCUAGCCAGUUCCUAGAUGGAUGACUGCUUGGGAAUACCAGGUGCUGUAAGC